rnacentral:rRNA from 1 species
UUGAUUCUAGAUCACGGUGAACGUCAGCGGCAUAAGCUAAGACAAACAAGUCAGAAGGCAACAGGGUUAAACAAUACAUCAGGCCGAAGGCGCAAAGGGAUGCGUAACGGAUGAGCAAUCUUCCCGUAUCCAGGGGGAUUAGGGAGAGAAACGUCGUUCUAGUACCGCAUAAACACCAUUGAUGGCCUCAUUGUAUGGUUGGAAAGCUUCGGUGGGAUACGGAUGAGCUCCGCGAGACAUUAGUUAGUUGGCGGGGUAACGGGCCCACCAAGACCGCGAUGUCUAGGGGAACUGAGAGGUUGGUCCCCCACACUGGAACUGAGACACGGUCCAGACUCCUACGGGAGGCAGCAGUGAGGAAUAUUGGACAAUGGCCGGAAGGCUGAUCCAGCCAUGCCGCGUGAAGGAAUAAGGUCCUAUGGAUUGUAAACUUCUUUUGUACGAGAGCAAUAAGUGUCACGAGUGACACGAUGAGAGUAUCGUACGAAUAAGCAUCGGCUAACUCCGUGCCAGCAGCCGCGGUAAUACGGAGGAUGCGAGCGUUAUCCGGAUUUAUUGGGUUUAAAGGGUGCGUAGGCGGGAUUUUAAGUCAGCGGUGAAACGCAAGGGCUCAACCCUUGACCUGCCGUUGAAACUGGAGUUCUUGAAUGCGGAUGCUGUGGGAGGAAUGUGUGGUGUAGCGGUGAAAUGCAUAGAUAUCACGAAGAACCCCGAUUGCGAAGGCAGCCGACGAGUCCUUAACUGACGCUAAAGCUCGAAAGUGCGGGUAUCGAACAGGAUUAGAUACCCUGGUAGUCCGCACGGUAAACGAUGGAUGCCCGCUGUCUGCGAUACACUGUAGGCGGCCAAGAGAAAUCGUUAAGCAUCCCACCUGGGGAGUACGCCGGCAACGGUGAAACUCAAAGGAAUUGACGGGGGCCCGCACAAGCGGAGGAACAUGUGGUUUAAUUCGAUGAUACGCGAGGAACCUUACCCGGGCUUGAACUGCAGGCGUACGAUACAGAGAUGUUGAGGCCCUUUCGGGGGCGCCUGGGGGAGGUGCUGCAUGGUUGUCGUCAGCUCGUGCCGUGAGGUGUCGGCUUAAGUGCCAUAACGAGCGCAACCCCUUUCUCCAGUUGCCAUCAGGUAAUGCUGGGCACUCUGGAGACACUGCCACCGUAAGGUGUGAGGAAGGUGGGGAUGACGUCAAAUCAGCACGGCCCUUACGUCCGGGGCUACACACGUGUUACAAUGGGUGGUACAGAGAGUUGGUCGUUUGCAAAUGCGAUCUAAUCAUGAAAGCCAUCCUCAGUUCGGAUUGGGGUCUGCAACCCGACCCCAUGAAGCUGGAUUCGCUAGUAAUCGCGCAUCAGCCAUGGCGCGGUGAAUACGUUCCCGGGCCUUGCACUCACCGCCCGUCAAG